rnacentral:rRNA from 1 species
AGUGAACGCUGGCGGUAGGCCUAACACAUGCAAGUCGAACGGCAGCACAGUAAGAGCUUGCUCUUACGGGUGGCGAGUGGCGGACGGGGGAGGGAUACAUCGGAAUCUACUUUUUCGUGGGGGAGAACGUAGGGAAACUUACGCUAAUACCGCAUACGACCUACGGGUGAAAGCAGCGGAUCUUCGGACCUUGCGCGAUUGAAUGAGCCGAUGUCGGAUUAGCUAGUUGGCGGGGUAAAGGCCCACCAAGGCGACGAUCCGUAGCUGGUCUGAGAGGAUGAUCAGUCACACUGGAACUGAGACACGGUCCAGACUCCUACGGGAGGCAGCAGUGGGGAAUAUUGGACAAUGGGCGCAAGCCUGAUCCAGCCAUACCGCGUGUGUGAAGAAGGCCUUCGGGUUGUAAAGCCCUUUUGUUGGGAAAGAAAAGCAGCAGGUUAAUACCCCGCUGUUCUGACGGUACCAAAAGAAUAAGCACCGGCUAACUUCGUG